rnacentral:rRNA from 1 species
GACCAUCUCCUAAGGCUAAAUACUCUCUAGUGACCGAUAGUGAACCAGUACCGUGAGGGAAAGGUGAAAAGCACCCCGGAAGGGGAGUGAAAUAGAACCUGAAACCGUGUGCUUACAAGUAGUCAGAGCCCGUUAAUGGGUGAUGGCGUGCCUUUUGUAGAAUGAACCGGCGAGUUACGAUUUGAUGCAAGGUUAAGCAGUAAAUGUGGAGCCGUAGCGAAAGCGAGUCUGAAUAGGGCGUUUAGUAUUUGGUCGUAGACCCGAAACCAGGUGAUCUACCCUUGGUCAGGUUGAAGUUCAGGUAACACUGAAUGGAGGACCGAACCGACUUACGUUGAAAAGUGAGCGGAUGAACUGAGGGUAGCGGAGAAAUUCCAAUCGAACCUGGAGAUAGCUGGUUCUC